rnacentral:lncRNA from 1 species
GAAAAAUUCGAAAUGGUCUUUGAGUUUAUUUUGUGUUCAAUUUUGUCCCAAAGAACGAAUUUAGUGUUCAAUUAAGUCCUUUUCAGUAACUCCGUUAAAAUUCUUAACGAUAACGUGUCCAGAUGUGCAACUGCUGAGUGAGGUGUCAGUUUUUUGCUAACUGAGAAUUCUUUUCAGUUGGAAUUAGGAUUUUUUAAAAAAUUUAGAAAGGCAAAGUGGGAAAAAAAGAAAGACUUUCUUCUUCCUCUAAAACCCUAAUUCCUCUACCAUUACCCAAACCCCAAUCGCCGACCACCGACCACCGUCCAUCAUCUUCUUCCUCGCACGCCGUCAGCAACCAUCGCACCUCCGUCACCGUGGCAGCCUCCAGCAUUUUCCAAUUCAACUUCGUGUGCCCUUUUCCCCAAAUCUGAACCCUAAUUUUGGGUAGAAAGGGAUCUUCAUCUUCUCCGCCAUGGACACAUCUGCAACUCAGCUUCAACACGCAUCCAUGGCCGCUGCUACCACCAAGCCGCCACCUUGAAGCUUCUUCUUCGUAUCUCGCACCUGCAAGCAAACCAAAAUCACACAACCAUCACGGUCUCGCCUCGACCAUUCUCGUCGUGCCGUCGUGCCUCGCAGGUUUGAUCCUCUCCAACGCAAGCCACCCGGCCUCCGUCACGCGCAACCUAGACAUCACCAUCGCACCUCCAUCAUCGUCGCAUCUCGCACCUGCAGAAAACAAGCCCAAAAGCAGAAAUGGGAACCACCGUGGCAGCCUCCAGCAUUUUUCGAUUUGCGCAGGCACACCAGGGCCAAACCCCUUUUUCCCAAAUUUGAAUCCUAAUUUUGGGUGGAAAGGGAGCGGACACGUGGCGCGCUCUGACGGGGCAAACCCCUUUCUGCCCACUUUGCCCUUCUAAAAUUCUGAUUCCAACUGAAAAUGAUUCCCAGUCAGCAGAAAAACUGACACCUCACUCAGCAGUUGCAUAUCUGGACACGUUAUCGUUAAGAAUUUUAACGGAGUUACUGAAAAGGACUUAAUUGAACACCAAAUUCGUUCUUUGGGACAAAAUUGAACACAAAAUAAACUCAGGGACCAUUUCGAAUUUUCCCAAACUGGAAAAAAAAGAGCUUUUUAACCUAAUAGUUAUUGUAUUUAAC